UACAGAGGGUGCGAGCGUUGUCCGGAAUCACUGGGCGUGAAGGGCGCGUAGGUGGCCACCAUAAGGCCGCGGUGAAAGUUCGGGGCUCAACCCCGAAUCGGCCGCGGCGACUGUGGGGCUUGGGUACCGUAGAGGCAGAUGGAAUUCCGGGUGUAGCGGUGGAAUGCGUAGAGAUGUGGAGGAACACCGAUGGCGAAGGCAGCCCCCUGGGCCAACACUGACGCUCAGGCACGAAAGCGUGGGGAGCAAACAGG
rnacentral:rRNA from 1 species